AGCAAAUUCAUAUUUAAAUGCUAUGACAAAUAUGAACACUACCACAAUUUAAUGAUUUCCCUUUAUAUUAAUUGAUGAAUACAAUUAUCUUAAAAUGUAUUCCAAUAAUGGCCCAAAAUCUAAAUAAAAACUCAAGAAUAACUACGUACCUGAAACCUAGAACCUCUGUGCGAUUAAAACUGGAUCCAUAUUUGUUUCGAUAAACUGUGUCCAGCUGUAAAAGUAAUAUAAGCAAUUUUAGCAAUUUAUCUUGAGAACUGAAAUGUUGACAAACAAUUUGAGGGAACGUGUUUGACAUAAUGACAAAUAUAAAAACUUAUUUGGGGGAUGAAAUGCCCCUUUAAGAACCUGACAGCUGUACAACUGAAGAUGAACAGUAUUAUUAAAAGAGUGGAAAGUAAAACAGAAUUUACCGCUGUAGCCACAGUACUUGCUAAUGCUUUGAACGCUGGUGAAGAAACAUUUUUCAAAUCUGCUUUGAAGUUUUGCUCCAAUUUGAAGUCCAACUUAACCUCUGGUGGUGGAGGGGCAGGUGUUCUGAUAGUAGUUGAGGAACCAGUUGUAACUGUGGUCAGAGCAACUGUGGUUGUUGUUGGAGUAGCUGUGGUUGUUUUGGGAGGAGCUGUGGUUCUUGUGGGAGCAGCUGUGGUUGUUGUGGGAGCAACUGUGGUUGUUGUGGGAGCAACUGUGGUUGUUGUGGGAGCAACUGUGGUUGUUGUGAGACCAGCUGUGGUUGUUAUUGGAGCAGCUAUGGUUGUUGUUGGAGUAGUUGUGGUUGUUGUAGGAACAGCUAAGGUAGUUGUGGGAGCAGCUGUGGUUGUUGUUGGAGCAGCUGUUGUUGUUAUGAGGGAACCUGUGGUUGUUGUGGGGGCAGCUGUGGUUGUUGUUGGAGCAGCUGUGGUUGUUGUUAGAGCACCUGUGGUUGCUGUUGGAGCAGCUGUUGUUGUUGGAGCAGCUGUGGUUGUUGUUGGACCAGCUGUGGUUGUUGUGAGACCAGCUGUGGUUGUUGUGGGAGCAACUGUGGUUGUUGUGGGAGCAACUGUGGUUGUUGUGGGAGCAACUGUGGUUGUUGUGGGAGCAACUGUGGUUGUUGUGAGACCAGCUGUGGUUGGUGUGAGACCAGCUGUGGUUGGUGUGAGACCAGCUGUGGUUGUUGUGAGACCAGCUGUGGUUGUUGUUGGAGCAGCUAUGGUUGUUAUUGGAGCAGCUGUGGUUGUUGUUGGAGUAGUUAUGGUUGUUGUAGGAAUAGCUGUGGUAGUUGUGGGAGCAGCUGUGGUUGUUGUGGGAGCAACUGUGGUUGUUGUGGGAGCAACUGUGGUUGUUGUGAGACCAGCGGUGGUUGUUAGGGGAGCAGCUGUGGUUGUUGUUGGAGCAGCUGUGGUUGUUGUUAGAGCAGCUGUGGUUGUUGUUAGAGCAGCUGUGGUUGUUGUUGGAGCAGCUGUGGUUGUUGUUGGAGCAGCUGGUGUUGUUGUUGGACCAGCUGUGGUUGUUGUGGGAGCAACUGUGGUUGUUGUGGGAGCAACUGUGGUUGUUGUGGGAGCAACUGUGGUUGUGAGACCAGCUGUGGUUGUUGUGAGACCAGCUGUGGUUGUUGUGAGACCAGCUGUGGUUGUUGUGAGACCAGCUGUGGUUGUUGUUGGAGCAGCUGUGGUUGUUGUUGGAGCAGCUGUGGUUGUUGUUGGAGCAGCUGUGGUUGUUGUAAGAGCAGCUAUGGUUGUUAUUGGAGCAGCUGUGGUUGUUGUUGGAGUAGUUAUGGUUGUUGUAGGAAUAGCUGUGGUAGUUGUGGGAGCAGCUGUGGUUGUUGUGGGAGCAGCUGUGGUUGUUGCGGGAAAAACUGUUGUUGUUGUGGGAGCAAAUGUGUUUGUUGUUAGACCAGCUGUGGUUGUUAGGGGAGCAGCUGUGGUUGUUGCGGGAGCAGCUGUGGUUGUUGUGGGAGCAGCUGUGGUUGUUGUGGGAGCAACUGUGGUUGUUGUGGGAGCAACUGUGGUUGUUAUGAGACCAGUGGUGGUUGUUGGGGAGCAGCUGUGGUUGUUGUUGUAGCAGUUAUGGUUGUUGUAGCUGCAGCUGUUGUAGUUGUGGGAGCAGCUGUGGUUGUUGUGGGAGCAGCUGUGGUUGUUGUGGGAGCAGCUGUGGUAGUUGUGGGAGCAACUGUGGUUGUUAUGAGACCAGUGGUGGUUGUUAGGGGAGCAGCUGUGGUUGUUGUUGGAGCAGUUAUGGUUGUUGUAGCUGCAGCUGUUGUCGUCGUAGCAGCAGCUGAGGUUGUUAUGAGGGAACCUGUGGUUGUUGUGGGGGCAGCUGUGGUUGUUGUAAGACCAGCUGUGGUUGUUGUUGGAGCAGCUGUGGUUGUUGUUGGAGCAGCUGUGGUUGUUGUUGGAGUAGUUAUGGUUGUUGUAGGAACAGCUAAGGUAGUUGUGGGAGCAGCUGUGGUUGUUGUGGGAGCAGCUGUGGUUGUUGUGGGAGCAGCUGUGGUAGUUGUGGGAGCAACUGUGGUUGUUAUGAGACCAGUGGUGGUUGUUAGGGGAGCAGCUGUGGUUGUUGUUGGAGCAGUUAUGGUUGUUGUAGCUGCAGCUGUUGUCGUCGUAGCAGCAGCUGAGGUUGUUAUGAGGGAACCUGUGGUUGUUGUAAGAGCAGCUGUGGUUGUUAUUGGAGCAGCUGUGGUUGUUGUUGAAGCAGCUGUGGUUGUUGUUGGAGUAGUUAUGGUUGUUGUAGGAACAGCUAAGGUAGUUGUGGGAACAGCUGUGGUUGUUGUGGGAGCAGCUGUGGUUGUUGUGGGAGCAGCUGUGGUAGUUGUGGGAGCAACUGUGGUUGUUGUGGGAGCAACUGUGGUUGUUGUGGGUGCAACUGUGGUUGUUGUGAGACCAGCGGUGGUUGUUAGGGGAGCAGCUGUGGUUGUUGUUGGAGCAGUUAUGGUUGUUAUAGCUGCAGCUGUUGUUGUCGUAGCAGCAGCUGAGGUUGUUAUUAGGGAACCUGUGGUUGUUGUGGGGGCAGCUGUGGUUGUUGUUAGAGCAGCUGUGGUUGUUGUUGGAGCAGUUGUUGUUGUUGGAGCAGCUGUGGUUGUUGUUGGACCAGCUGUGGUUGUUGUGAGAUCAGCUGUGGUUGUUGUAAGACCAGCUGUGGUUGUUGUGGGAGCAACUGUGGUUGUUGUGGGAGCAACUGUGGUUGUUGUGGGAGCAACUGUGGUUGUUGUGGGAGCAACUGUGGUUGUUGUGAGACCAGCUGUGGUUGUUGUGAGACCAGCUGUGGUUGUUGUUGGAGCAGCUGUGGUUGUUGUUGGAGCUGCUGUGGUUGUUGUUGGAGCAGCUGUGGUUGUUGUAAGAGCACCUAUGGUUGUUAUUGGAGCAGCUGUGGUUGUUGUUGGAGUAGUUAUGGUUGUUGUAGGAAUAGCUAAGGUAGUUGUGGGAGCAGCUGUGGUUGUUGUGGGAGCAGCUGUGGUUGUUGUGGGAGCAACUGUGGUUGUUAUGAGACCAGUGGUGGUUGUUAGGGGAGCAGCUGUGGUUGUUGUUGGAGCAGUUAUGGUUGUUGUAGCUGCAGCUGUUGUCGUCGUAGCAGCAGCUGAGGUUGUUAUGAGGGAACCUGUGGUUGUUGUAAGAGCAGCUGUGGUUGUUAUUGGAGCAGCUGUGGUUGUUGUUGAAGCAGCUGUGGUUGUUGUUGGAGUAGUUAUGGUUGUUGUAGGAACAGCUAAGGUAGUUGUGGGAACAGCUGUGGUUGUUGUGGGAGCAGCUGUGGUUGUUGUGGGAGCAGCUGUGGUAGUUGUGGGAGCAGCUGUGGUUGUUGUGGGAGCAGCUGUGGUUGUUGUGGGAGCAACUGUGGUUGUUGUGGGAGCAAAUGUGUUUGUUGUUAGACCAGCUGUGGUUGUUGUGGGAGCAGCUGUGGUUGUUGUGGGAGCAGUUGUGGUUGUUGUGGGAGCAGCUGUGGUUGUUGUGGGAGCAACUGUGGUUGUUAUGAGACCAGCGGUGGUUGUUAGGGGAGCAGCUGUGGUUGUUGUUGGAGCAGUUAUGGUUGUUGUAGCUGCAGCUGUUGUCGUCGUAGCAGCAGCUGAGGUUGUUAUGAGGGAACCUGUGGUUGUUGUGGGGGCAGCUGUGGUUGUUGUAAGACCAGCUGUGGUUGUUGUUGGAGCAGCUGUGGUUGUUGUUGGAGCAGCUGUGGUUGUUGUUGGAGUAGUUAUGGUUGUUGUAGGAACAGCUAAG
ensembl:lncRNA